GUCCCCGUGGGGCCUUGGGGAUGGGGGGCGCUGACUCCCGCAUGGGGUCCGGGGAAGGUGACCCCGGUGCCCCCCUGGGCAUCCCCGGGUACGAAGGCCCCCCAGCUCCAGGCCGCAGGUCCCCGUGGGGUCUCAGGGUGGGGGGCGCUGACUCCCCCACGGGGUCCGGGGAAGGUGACCCCGGUGCCCUCCUGGGCAUCCCCGGGUACGAAGGCCCCCCAGCUCCAGGCCGCAGGUCCCCGUGGGGUCUCAGGGUGGGGGGCACUGACUCCCCCACGGGGUUCGGGGAAGGUGCCCCCCGCGCCCCCGCGCAUCCCCGGUAACGACGGCUCCCCCCAGGCCGCAGGUCCCCCUGGGGUCCGGGGAAGGUGUCCCCGGUGCCCCCGCGCAUCCCCGGGAACGAAGGCCCCCCCAUCUCCAGGCCGCAGGUCCCCUGGGGUCUCGGGGGAUGGGGGCGCCGACUCCCCCUCGGGUCCCGGGAAGGUGCCCCCGCGCCCCCGCGCCCCGGCCAGCCCCCGGGUGCUCCCCAGCCCCCAGGGCGCCGCUGCGCGCACUGUCCGGCUCCGCGGCCUCCGGGCGCCGUCGCCCCACCGCCCGUGCGCCCCGCGGGGGUCUGGGGGCGCGGGGCCGCCCCUCGGCUCCUCCCGGCGCCCCCAUCCCCGCCGGGGCACCGCGCGGCCCUUGGAGCCGCCCGCGAGGUCGGGCCGCGCUCGGCCGCUGAGACCCCGCGGAGGCGCCCCGGGGGCGUGGGGGUCCCUGCCCGCGCGCCCCGCCGGCCUCCCCCGCGCACCUGGGACCGGCUCCCGGCGGGCGGGGGGCGCUCGGGGAGGCGGCCCCGCGGGGAGGGGAGGGGAGGGGAGGGGAGGGGAGGGGAGGGGGGCAGCCUGCGUGCAGCCCCGCGGAGCCCGAGCCGCGCCUGGCUCCCGGAGCGCCGCGUCGGGGCCGGGGCCGGGGCCGGGGCCGGGGCCGGGGCCGGGGCGUGGGGGGGGCCGGGGGCGGGGGCCGGGGCCAAGGGGCAGGGUAGGCCGGGAGAGAAAACAAACAGCCCCGCGUCGCCUCCCUUUUGUCUUUCUACUGCUUGUGCCAAGAAACCUCCUGGAGCCACAGCGAGCCCCCGCCGGGCUCGGGGGCGACGGUGGGACUGGGACGCGGCCACCCUCGGGCCCCAAUCGGGGGGGGGGGGUGCAGAGGGACGGGGGCCCGAGGCCGGCGGAGGAUGCUGCAGGGACGAUGAACUCCUCACCUUUCCUGCUCCCCAACCACGCGCCCCUUAGAGCAUCCGCGCCGCCGAGCGCGCGUCUGCAGCUCGCCGUGCACUGCGCUGGGCUGGGAUAA
rnacentral:lncRNA from 12 species